AUGAAAAGCAGAAAGAAAACAAGACGGAAAGGAAAAUCAUUGUCGCCGAAAUCUCAUUGGAAACGCGCCUCCGCCUUACACGAUGCUGCCCCCGGACAACCGGAUGUAUCCUCCGUCCAGAUCGCUCUGUCGACAUCCCAUCAGCCGCGAAUCUCCGCAAGCACCGAUCGGUCGUUGUAUUUUUGUUCUGAACUUUCACGUUUUUUGUUGUUGUUUAAGUUUGCAGUGAAGGAGAGGAUGGAACUUGGGAAGGGAAUGGUACGAAAAGAAUAA